UCCAGAUACCACCCUGUUAGUGUUUGAA
rnacentral:piRNA from 1 species